CUCACAAGCCCAGAGGGGUAAGAUGAUGACCGCUUCCAGCAGUAGUAUCCUGUUGGCCUGGCUGGAUCCCCAGCAAAAAGUUAGGAAAGAAUUAUACUUAAAAACUGUAAUUGGAAUUAAUGUGCUGAGGACAGAAGACUACUCUAAAGCACCGCUGGCUCAGGAGGCAAGUGGCUGAAAAUUUAACAGAACAGGCAUCUGUGCUUCUGCUGUCCUGGAACUGAUGCGGCGCUGGUUGGCUCCUGGUGGAGAAGAGGGCAUCUGGGGGCAGCUUGCCUUCUCCUGACUUUCUUUCUUUUACACCUACUGUGGUGCUGGCACACAGUAGAUUUAUAGCUGUGGAAGGAAUGGAUGAAAAGAAGAGAAGAAAAACAUGAGACUCGCCAAAAAUUAAAAUAUUUGCAUUUUUUCUUGUAAAAAAUGGCUUGAAUUUUAAUAUCUUAGAGACUUGAUAAAUUAGCACCUUUUUGUUAGAUUUACUUUUAAAGAAUAUGAAGGGGGUUUGCUUGCAGUUUUGCGUGUUGGUCUAACUGUGUUCUGCUUACCUGUGUAUUCGAUGGAAGGACGAGGAGGCAGAAUCUUCUUAGAAAACUGAGUUAAAGGUGUUAUGUGUGGUCAGACAGCUGAAAUGAACCAGUCAUGAUGCUGAGGAAAGAGCAGUUGGUCACCCCUUGACUCAUGGGAAGACUGAUUUAAAAUUGCAAUUGAAUAGCUCAAUUGCUUAAUAUUAUCUGUGCUAAGCAUAUGUGGAUGAAGAUGCUGAAAUUAGAAUUUGACACUGUCUACACAUUACCAGCCAUACACGCUGGUUUGCCUGGAACAGUCUGGCUAACUCUCAAGGCCCCAUGCCAGUGUCGGGAACGCCUUUAUCUCUCAGCAGUGCUCCUAAUUAGAUGAUCAUUAUAUAGUGACUUCGUGUACAGUGCGUAGAUUGGAACACAGUGUUGAAAAGUAUUAACACAUUAUGGCUAAGGAUAUUACCUAACCUUAAUUAAAAAAAAAAACAGUUUUUUUUGUGAGGUAUAAUUUGCAGAGCAUGGUCAUCCAUUGUAAAUGUGUGAUUGCAUGGUUUUUAGUAAAUUUUUACUUUUUAAAUCAACACGGUGUGUAAUUUUAGAGCUCUUUUAUCAUUCUAAGAUGUUUCUUUAUUUCCAGCUAGUCCUCACUCCUACUUCUAGUCCCAGGUAAAUCAGGAUCUGCUUUCUGUAUUGAAAAUUCGCCCUUUGGGAUGCCUGGGUGUCUUAGCGGUUGAACGUCUGCCUUUGGCUCAGGGAGUGAUCCUGGUCCUGGAUCAAGUCUCACAUCAGGAUCCCUGCAUAGAGACUGGUUCUUCCUCUGCCUAUGUUUCUGCCUCUCUCUGUGUAUCUCUCAUGAAUAAAUAAAUAAAAUCUUUGAAAAAAGAAAAUUUGACCUUUAUGGAAAAUUUAUAUAACUGCAGAAUAUGUCAUUUUUUUUGCAUGCGGCUUCUUUUUCAUAGUAUGAUGUUCUUUUUUUAAAAUUUUUUUUAUUGGUG
rnacentral:lncRNA from 1 species